rnacentral:rRNA from 1 species
AUGGAUAGUGUGGAAGAUCGACCCUCCUUGGUUGCUGAGGAGAAGGACAAGCAGCCUGCUCCCUUCAGUGACGCUCCAUCUCCAGUGCGCGCCGUGCUCAACCGUCCAUGGCCAUCCCCUAUCGUGAUCCCGCCGGAGGCUAAUCCGUCCCGCAAGUACCGCACUCUGGUGGCCACCGCCGACGACAUUGGGGACCCGAUCUCGCCGGAGGAGAUAGCCGCGCUGGAGGACAAGAAGGACGACGAUGCGGGCACACGGUUCUACAAGGCAGCUGCUCGGGCCGACGUCGUUAUGAGGAAUUACAUCCAUGAACACGGCAGCCUGUACAUGGAUGAGAACUGCAAGUACAUGAUCGACAAUUCUGCCCAAGUUGAGGAAAUACGUUGCAAGCAUGUUACAGCAGAAGAAAUGGAAGCGAAGAUAAUCAAGCAAGAGGUCACUAGGAAGCAAACAUAUUUAUCAGAACUGGCUUUAGCGAGUUUCAAUAAGAGAAAAAAGGUGAAGUUUGAGUUGUGUGGUACAUUGCUUUCUAGGCUCUUUUACGAGAGCAGCUGUAUUUUUAUGCACCUAAAUUUCGUCGCCAAGCGCAAGGAUAAGAAGAAACUCUUUUUCGCCGAGAUAGAGGACUGUGGACGGGGUCGUGAAGAGAUCUUGAAAGUACGCUGUUGCGUUCCCCUGGAUUCAUUAUGUGAAGGUGGUUAUUAUUAC